rnacentral:lncRNA from 1 species
UCGAUCAGGUUGGGCGAUGCGGCAGUGCGUCCGCCGGCAGCAGGUGAGUGAUGGCAUGGUGAGGAAUGGGAUUGAUGGGGUCAGAGCCGCAGCAGGCCGCAAGGGAAGGUGCACGCGUACGUGAAGGCUGACAGGCGUGUGCCGGCUGCAUCACUGCAUGCAUGCCUGCUGUCCCAACCCCAGCCUGCAGCACCAUCCACACGUCUGACAUCGUACAUGCCACCCGCCGCUCACCCGUGAAGAUGAGUCCUCCCACGGACAGCCAGGGGCAUACCACGCUGUACGGCGGUCCAUCCUGGUACAUGCGGCAGCUGUUGAAGGACACCUUGCUGUCGUAGCCGGGCUUGCCCCAGCCGCCUGAGAAGUGAGAACCAAGCAGCAGGGGGGCCGCGGGCGGAAAGAAAGGGAGCGUGAGGAAGGGGCGACGAAUAAAGCGACACGCACGUGUUGUGCGUGUGUAGAGGAGCAGAGCGAGCUGAAAGUAGAGUUCCUGACCCUUGCCAGCCAGGUGGACGGGGACCUCGCAGGUAGGCGGACGCCCGGGUGUACGGACGCACCGUGCACGUAGGGUAUGCCAAGGUUCAGGCUGAGCAGGGUGGGGUAGGGCGCGGCCACAAUGACACCCAUGUCCUUGACGCCCACGAACGAGAUGAAGCAGCCGAUGCCCG